rnacentral:lncRNA from 1 species
UGAGUACCUCCUGGAGUCCAGGACUCAGAGCAUGGACACACCCUAACUCCAGCUAGGGGAGGGCGAAGCCACCUGCACCUGGGAGGCUGGCGCUGCCUAAGCGGGUCAGGCAAGUCCUCGCCUUGGAGGGGAGAGUCCUUAGUGAUUUUCCCUGGCUCUGCUCCCACCGACGAGACGGACUCAGGAGGGGCGAACGCUCCUGGGAAAUCCAGAAACUCUAGAGAAGCUUGUUUGCCAAACCUUGCUUUGGGCGGUGGAGACAGAAUAUCAUGUCCCAGAUCAGCGUGUGGUGACUGUGGAGGCAUUUACACACAGCACACUCCAGCUCUGCCACUGGGCCGGCUGAGGUGGCUGCGGUACACGGCGCCCAUCCUGAGCCCCAGGUUCCUCACAUGUCAACAGCAUGAAAAGUGCCUCUAAGACAUCCACAGGUGUGCAGUGUUAAAGCAGGCAGCGCCUCAGCUUGGUUAGCUCCCUUAAGGACUGCGGCUCCCUUAGGACAAGGCUCUGUCCCUCAGAGCACUGAGUGCGAUCUCAUGCUGGCAUCUUAGAGACAUUGUAUUCACCAGUGAUUUGGAGGUUAUACUUCCUAUUGCUGUCUUUCUAAUCAUUACUCAACCAUGUGAACAGACGUAUUGAAGUGGUGGAGCAGAUAAGGAGGUCUUCAGGUCUGGAGCUGUCCAGGAGCUGAGACAGUCUCAGCUGGUAGCUGGGACACUCUUGGGGAGUUCCCCCAGCUGAAGAAAGUCUCCCUGCCGAAGUCAUGAUCUUUCCCAGGGCAGCCCACACCCCACAUCUAACGGCUGGUUGA